AUGACCACCAGUGCAGGAUCUGCGGGUAGGAGACGUGGCGGUGCCUUUAAGAGCAGCCGCGGUAAUUUUCCACGGCCCGGACAGCCCCGCCCACGCGGCAGCCGGCGGGGGUGCGUCCGAGUGCGGCUGCGCGCCGCGCCGCGCGCGCCUCCCGUUGCCUGGAUACCGCCUCCUCCGCCCGCGGCCGCCGAAGGCCUUUUGUUUCCAAGAUGGCCUCCGAGCUCUGUGUCAAUGCGCCCGGAACAAAGCCCAUUGACCAGCCUUCAGCUUAGCGGAAAGCAAGCGUCGUAUGGCUGGCUUCAAGAGUGUUCCAUGUCAAUAUUUAUUUACUCUUAUAGACUUUCUGGCCCAGGGUCUCCAGCUCCUCAGACAGCUAUAAAACAGAGCAGAGCCCAGAUUUGGAGAACCAGACACCAGCUUUGAACCCCAGUCCUGUCAUGACCACCAAAACCCCAGCCCUCAGGUAGUUAUUCAAUCUCUCUUCUCUCCUGUAUUCUCUUCCGGGAAAUGGGCCUAUUAGGCACAGAUGCCUCCAGGGGUAGGUGGGUGGGCAGGUACACUGUAGUAAUGAAGGCCCAAGUACACGGAGUGCCAGCUGCCUUCCCGACAUCAAGCUCACAGGCUUGCAUGCUCUCACUCCAUCCUUGUGAUGGCUCUAGGAGCUGGACGUUAUUAUGGGCCUCAUUUUAGAAAUGUGGGAAUGGAGAUGUGGGGUGGUGAAGUCACUUCUGCAGGUGGUGCAGCUGGGAAUGGUGGAGGCAGGCCAGGCCCCCAAUUGCUGUGCUGCUCUGGGCGCUGUGCCUGCUACCAACCCUGCACAGUGUGACUAAACAGGCUUGCCAAUGUUGGGUUCUUGCAAGGUCAAGGUGGGACAGCUCAUGUGAAAGUGCUAAUACCUACCAGGUCUUUAAAAGCGUUUGCUGAACGACUAACAAAUGUUGGUGAGCUCACCAAAUACUUGUUAUGUUCUUCAGCUGUUUUCUCUAAUUGUUAAUUCCAUAGAAGCUUCCCUCUGAUAGGGAUAACCAUGGCGGAGGUAGGGGGCAAUCUCCCUCAGCCUGUAUUAUACAAAUGUCAGGUUUAACAAACAAAUUACAAGGCAGUUGAUUUUCUUUGUUUCUGACCUCAUAUUACAGCAACAUUGAACUUAUUUUUAUUUUUUUAUUCAUUUACUCAAGAGAGACAGAGAGGUAGAGACAUAGGUAGAGGGAGAAGUAGGCUCCCCAUGGGGAGCCUGAUAUGGGGCUCGAUCCCAGAACCCCAGGAUCACAACCUGAAGUGAAUGCAGAUGCUCAACCACUGAGCCAUCCAGGCAUCCCAAACCUAUUAUAUUUUUUGCCUGUGAUCAUACAACAGAGAAGCAGAUGAUAAAUGUCAGGAUCUAGGGCAAGCCCUUCCUCUCCUGCCUGUUCCAAGCUGGUACUGGGCUUCUCUAGUGUGCCAAAAGUAAUCCAACACACAGAGCUGUCCUGGGAGCACAGGGCUGGGAGCCUCUUCACUUUCCUUGCCUUUGAUUAAGGCCUCUCCACAGACUGGUUGCUGUGGCUGUUUUCCACCUGUUGUGAUAUACUUCCCUUUCAAAACUUGUAAACUAAUAAUCCUAUGAAUUUAUCUCUAAAUGCAACAAAGAAGAUACAUAGAAUAAAGCAAGGCCACAUAUAGAAAAGUACUUUCA
rnacentral:lncRNA from 1 species